ensembl:snRNA U6 U6 spliceosomal RNA
GUGCUUGCUCUGGCAGCACAUAUGCUGAAAUUGGAACAAUACAGAGAAAAUUAGCAUGGCUCCUGUGCAAGAUGACACACAAAUUCAUGAAGCAUUCCAUACUUUG